rnacentral:rRNA from 1 species
UACAGAGGGUGCGAGCGUUAAUCGGAAUUACUGGGCGUAAAGCGCGCGUAGGCGGCUUUGCAAGCCGGAUGUGAAAUCCCCGGGCUUAACCUGGGAACUGCAUUCGGGACUGCAUUGCUAGAGUAUGGGAGAGGGAAGUGGAAUUUCAGGUGUAGCGGUGAAAUGCGUAGAUAUCGAGAGGAACACCUGCGGCGAAGGCGGGUUGCUGGGCUGACACUGACGCUGAUGCGCGAAAGCCAGGGGAGCGAACGGG